rnacentral:tRNA from 1 species
GUCGUGGUGGCUGAGGGGUAAAGUGCUUGUCUUCCAAACCGGGGUCCCGGGUUCGAAUCCUAGUGAAGACU